rnacentral:rRNA from 1 species
ACGCACGCUGGCGGCGUGCUUAACACAUGCAAGUCGAACGGAAGGGCCCUGCUUUUGUGGGGUGCUCGAGUGGCGAACGGGUGAGUAACACGUGAGUAACCUGCCCUUGACUUUGGGAUAACUUCAGGAAACUGGGGCUAAUACCGGAUAGGAGCUCCUGCUGCAUGGUGGGGGUUGGAAAGUUUCGGCGGUUGGGGAUGGACUCGCGGCUUAUCAGCUUGUUGGUGGGGUAGUGGCUUACCAAGGCUUUGACGGGUAGCCGGCCUGAGAGGGUGACCGGCCACAUUGGGACUGAGAUACGGCCCAGACUCCUACGGGAGGCAGCAGUGGGGAAUAUUGCACAAUGGGCGGAAGCCUGAUGCAGCAACGCCGCGUGCGGGAUGACGGCCUUCGGGUUGUAAACCGCUUUCGCCUGUGACGAAGCGUGAGUGACGGUAAUGGGUAAAGAAGCACCGGCUAACUACGUG